rnacentral:sRNA from 1 species
UUUUCAAGUGGGAGAGGAUGAUGUGAUCAUGGAAAGCACAAAGGACUUGGAAUUUGAUCAAGAGCUUGUAGCCGCGAAAGAGCUUGAACCUGAGGAGCAUUUUGAAGCAGAAAAUGAACUUAUAACGGAGAAAGAGUAUGGAAAGAUGUUAUCUUAACCUCAUUGGUUUUGAUACAUGAUCAUCAAAUGGGCAUGUGUCUCAUUUGUACUCUUUUUCCCUUGUCAAGUUUUGUCCCAAUGGGUUUUCUUGACAAGGUUUUUAAUGAGGCAAAUGAUUCACAUUCAAAUCACCCAUUUGAUGAUCCAAACCAUGGUAUAACUU